GCUACACAUGCAAGUCGAGCGGUAGCACAGAGAGCUUGCUCUCGGGUGACGAGCGGCGGACGGGUGAGUAAUGUCUGGGAAACUGCCUGAUGGAGGGGGAUAACUACUGGAAACGGUAGCUAAUACCGCAUAACGUCGCAAGACCAAAGUGGGGGACCUUCGGGCCUCAUGCCAUCAGAUGUGCCCAGAUGGGAUUAGCUGGUAGGUGGGGUAACGGCUCACCUAGGCGACGAUCCCUAGCUGGUCUGAGAGGAUGACCAGCCACACUGGAACUGAGACACGGUCCAGACUCCUACGGGAGGCAGCAGUGGGGAAUAUUGCACAAUGGGCGCAAGCCUGAUGCAGCCAUGCCGCGUGUGUGAAGAAGGCCUUCGGGUUGUAAAGCACUUUCAGCGGGGAGGAAGGCGGUGAGGUUAAUAACCUCACCGAUUGACGUUACCCGCAAAAGAAGCACCGGCUAACUCCGUGCCAGCAGCCGCGGUAAUACGGAGGGUGCAAGCGUUAAUCGGAAUUACUGGGCGUAAAGCGCACGCAGGCGGUCUGUCAAGUCGGAUGUGAAAUCCCCGGGCUCAACCUGGGAACUGCAUUCGAAACUGGCAGGCUAGAGUCUUGUAGAGGGGGGUAGAAUUCCAGGUGUAGCGGUGAAAUGCGUAGAGAUCUGGAGGAAUACCGGUGGCGAAGGCGGCCCCCUGGACAAAGACUGACGCUCAGGUGCGAAAGCGUGGGGAGCAAACAGGAUUAGAUACCCUGGUAGUCCACGCUGUAAACGAUGUCGAUUUGGAGGUUGUGCCCUUGAGGCGUGGCUUCCGGAGCUAACGCGUUAAAUCGACCGCCUGGAGGAGUACGGCCGCGAGGUUAAAACUCAAAUGAAUUGACGGGGGGCCCGCA
rnacentral:rRNA from 1 species